UACGAAGGGGGGCUAGCGUUGUUCGGAAUUACUGGGCGUAAAGCGCACGUAGGCGGACAUUUAAGUCAGGGGUGAAAUCCCGGGGCUCAACCCCGGAACGGCCUUUGAUACUGGGUGUCUUGAGUUCGGAAGAGGUGAGUGGAAUUGCGAGUGUAGAGGUGAAAUUCGUAGAGAUCGGGAGGAACACCAGUGGCGAAGGCGGCUACCUGGACCAGCACUGACACUGAGGCACGGAAAAGCGUGG
rnacentral:rRNA from 1 species